ensembl:lncRNA
CGUCAUUCCCAUGCAGGCGCGAACGCGCCGAAAGAUAACGGCUGGGACUAAGUAUAAAGUAUUAAAAAUGGAGACAUCAGCGUUCCGCUAUGUCCUACUUGAAUGGACUGAGGGUGAUGAUCGUGGGGCGCAUAGUAUUUUGGCGAUGGACUGUGUCCGGAACUUUUCAGUUCAAGAUUUUUUUGCCUCGACUGAACAAAACGAGAAGCUGGUGGAAUGACGAAAAGGCCGCCAACCCUGGCCGGUUCACCGAGCCAAAAUUGUUGACGUGGCAAGGAGGGUCUUCCAAAUACAAGCACCAGGAGGGUGAGAAGCAGGAGGAGGGUCAUGACAGACUUUCAAAGAACAAGGUUGCCGUGAAAAAGAAAAAUCUUUCUAAAUACGAGGAGGAGGAGGAGGAGGAAGUGGAUGAUGAGGCACGUCAUGACACAAAGAACAAGCGGGCCAGAGAAGAGGAGGAGCAUAUUGGGGAUGAAGACGACAAAGUACCAGCCUCAAAGAAAAAGAGUGCUGCUGAAUUUAGAAAGCAACUGGACGAACAGAUGUGGGAGAGAAAAAAAAUUGAACAAAUGCAAAGAAAUUUGCAGGAGUUGCGAAAUGAAGUUCAGUCUCUCAAAAGUGAAAAUGCACAUCUGAAAGAUGUUCUGGAAUGGGAAGCAACCUGAAUGGUACAAAAACAUGUUGCUAAUCUCUUCUGUCCUUAAAAAAACAAAAAACAAGUCAGUCAUAUUCUGUGUAAUGAAUCAUGUUUGUGUGCGGGCAUACCAUCGCUUUUGUACUUGCCAUUUUUGUAUUUCCUUGCACCUCAAGAAAACGUAAUGUGUGUGUGUUACGACCCCCUGGAUGGUCUAGGGGUGCGGGGACCAUAAACAUAUAGGCAGAACCUGGUCGGGUGUAAAAGGGUAGUAUUUAUUGGCAACCAGAGGUAAACAGGCACGUAACAACAAACAAAAGGAGGGUGGAUGAGGGUGCUGUGAAAAGACAAACUAAGUAAAAUAAAAGAGAUCCCCAAAAGGAGAACUAUGCCUGAAUAUACGUUAAAACAAACAGUAGGCGCUUACCAUAAAAAACACAAAGAGCACAGCACCCACUACACCUAUGAAGCUAACAAACACAGAACUACGUGUGGUGAAAUCAGUAUAGACUCUGGCCCUAACUCACCCCCUUUUGUCAGCUCCGUGCUGGCAAAAACACACAGAACCAAAGCACAGUUCUCUACCCAGUUGCACUCAAUUACAAACACAGAAGGCACACAAGUCCACUGGCCAAGACAAGCCACCCCGAGCCACUGGUGGGCUCUCCUUAAGAGCUGGAGGUAAGGCUGCGAUGGUGACCUGCCAUUGGGCGCGCUGGGACAGGGUGGACGAAUGGGUGGAGCUGGAGUGAACCUGUGGGGCUCCACCGAAACCAGGAAGUAGGCGGGGCUUCAGUCCACAGGGCCGCACAGCCUACUUGGUACAGACAAGACAGAAAUACAGACCACGGUGACAGCCGUAACAGUGUGUAUAUAUAUAAAAAAAACUCUUGCUUACUCCACCUUCAAAUGCAUAAUGUGUUGAGAAGGGAAAACAAAACUUUUAAGACUUUAUAAGUUCACCACUUUAACCAUAGCCUACUUGUAUCAAUGUUUAUUAGGCAUCAAUGGAGACUGCAUAAGGUAUGGGCACAAUAACAGUGGGUAGACAGGUAAAUAAUAUCAAUAUAUACAGCAAGACAGAUCACACCCAGGCCCCGAAUCCACCUCCUCAAAGUGAUCCACUCGCCACCGAGUCGGAGGUUCCUCUGUCAUCCUCACUGGCACCAUCAAGG